UCGAUAUUUUGUACUAUGCUCUGGCAUGGCAGCAGCUAUAGAGGAGGCAUUAACUUAGAAGAACAGUGUGCUGUUCUUGGAACAUCUCUAAUGCUAUACCAAAAGAAUGAUCAACUUUUAGUAGUAGGUCAGGUGGAGGUCGCAGUGCCUCACGUGGCGGCCGGAGGUAGCUUUGGAGGCAGCAGUGGGUGGUAGUGCUAUUGGAGGUGGUCGUGGCAGUGAUGCAGCUCGUGGUGGUAAAGGUAGCUCUAAAUUAGGUGGUGGUAAAAGUUAUAAAGGUAGCUCUCGUAGUGGUGCUGGAGCAGGAUUUCUCAGUGGUGCUGGGGCAGAUUAUCUUGCUGCUGGUGGUGCAGGUUUUAUUGGUGUGCCUCAACUAAAUCACAGAGGAUACAGUUCAUCGUCCAACUCCUACAGCUCUUACAGCUGCUAUGACAACCACCAUGGCAACUAUAAUUAUCCUUGCUUUUAUUUAUAGUAUAUAUAAGUAACAGAAAUAUACAGUAUUUAUAGUGGUAGUAGUAGGAGAAUAGCUUGAUAGCAUUACGUAUUUGAUCAAAUUAUUGAAGCAUUGUGUUCAAUCAAGUAUAUUGUUACGAAUUAUUUUCACAAUGGAUAAAUCUGGCUAUUUUUCUGUUCUUUUCUAUGUAAUCUACUUAGUUCUGAAUAACUAAAAGUUGC
rnacentral:lncRNA from 1 species